CUAAAAGAGUAUCAGCAGAGGAACAGCCCUGGUGUUCUGACAGGAGUGAAGACAAAGAAGAAAAAAACUGGAAGUAGCCCUGAGACAACCACUUCUGGUAGUUACCACUCACCUGAGGAUGAAAAGAAAGCAAACAAUGAAAUACACAAAGCACAAAUGGAGCAGUUAUAGACAAUCAACAUCCUCAUGUUGGACAUGUUGGAAAAGGCAGACUUGAAGACCACCCUUUACCAUACUAAACGUGCUGCCAGACACUUCGAAGAAGAGUCCAAGGAUCUGGCCAGCCGCCUGCAAUACUCCUUACAGCGUACUCAAGAAUUGGAGCGAGCUCUCUCUGCUGUGUCUACACAGCAGCAAGAAGAGGACAGGGUGAGUCCAACCAGCUGCCCCGUCACCUGGCAGCCUGGCUUCCCAGAUGGAGGAGUGAGCCUAAAGCUCCUUUCUGCAGGAUGCAGUGUCCUGCCCAGAAGGCAGCAGGAUCAUUUCAAGCUGCUUUUGUGUAUGGUUGUUAGAGGCAGCCUGGCGCUGAGUCAGCUGCUGUGUGUGUGUUGGGGGCACUGUGGGCAGUGA
rnacentral:lncRNA from 1 species